AUUUCUUUAAUAAACUGUCAGCUGGCCUUAAGAGGCUAACACAGAAGGGUAAAGCAAGUCUCCAUAAAACCCAGAGAAGAGAUGGUAAAACUCCUCUUUGGAUCCUGUCUGGAGUCACAGCU
rnacentral:snoRNA from 1 species